CGUAGCCGAACUGAGAGGUUGAUCGGCCACAUUGGGACUGAGACACGGCCCAAACUCCUACGGGAGGCAGCAGUAGGGAAUCUUCCACAAUGGACGAAAGUCUGAUGGAGCAACGCCGCGUGAAUGAAGAAGGCCUUCGGGUCGUAAAAUUCUGUUGUCAGAGAAGAACGUGCGUGAGAGUAACUGUUCACGUAUUGACGGUAUCUGACCAGAAAGCCACGGCUAACUACGUGCCAGCAGCCGCGGUAAUACGUAGGUGGCGAGCGUUGUCCGGAUUUAUUGGGCGUAAAGGGAACGCAGGCGGUCUUUUAAGUCUGAUGUGAAAGCCUUCGGCUUAACCGAAGUAGUGCAUUGGAAACUGGAAGACUUGAGUGCAGAAGAGGAGAGUGGAACUCCAUGUGUAGCGGUGAAAUGCGUAGAUAUAUGGAAGAACACCAGUGGCGAAAGCGGCUCUCUGGUCUGUAACUGACGCUGGGGUUCGAAAGCGAGGGUAGCAAACAGGAUUAGAUACCCUGGUAGUCCACGCCGUAAACGAUGAGUGCUAAGUGUUGGAGGGUUUCCGCCCUUCAGUGCUGCAGCUAACGCAUUAAGCACUCCGCCUGGGGAGUACGUCGCAAGACUGAAACUCAAAGGAAUUGACGGGGGCCCGCACAAGCGGUGGAGCAUGUGGUUUAAUUCGAAGCAACGCGAAGAACCUUACCAGGUCUUGACAUCUUCUGACAAUUCCAGAGAUGGAACGUUCCCUUCGGGGACAGAAUGACAGGUGGUGCAUGGUUGUUGUCAGCUCGUGUCGUGAGAUGCUGGGUUAAGUCCCGCAACGAGCGCAACCCUUAUUGUCAGUUGCCAUCAUUAGGUUGGGCACUCUGGCGAGACUGCCGGUGACAAACCGGAGGAAGGUGGGGAUGACGUCAAAUCAUCAUGCCCCUUAUGACCUGGGCUACACACGUGCUACAAUGGACGGUACAACGAGUCGCUAACUCGCGAGGGCAAGCUAAUCUCUUAAAGCCGUUCUCAGUUCGGAUUGCAGGCUGCAACUCGCCUGCAUGAAGUCGGAAUCGCUAGUAAUCGCGAAUCAGCAUGUCGCGGUGAAUACGUUCCCGGGCCUUGUACACACCGCCCGUCACACCAUGAGAGUUUGUAACACCCAAAGUCGGUGGGGUAACCUUUGGAGCCAGCCGCCUAAGGUGGGACAGAUGAUUGGGGUGAAGUCGAAACAAGGUA
rnacentral:rRNA from 1 species